AUUGAACGCUGGCGGCAUGCUUUACACAUGCAAGUCGAACGGUAACAGGCCUUCGGGUGCUGACGAGUGGCGAACGGGUGAGUAAUGCAUCGGAACGUACCCAGAGGUGGGGGAUAACGCAGCGAAAGCUGUGCUAAUACCGCAUGUGAUCUGAGGAUGAAAGCGGGGGACCGAGCAGCAAUGUUUGGCCUCGCGCCUUUGGAGCGGCCGAUGUCGGAUUAGCUAGUUGGUGGGGUAAAGGCCUACCAAGGCGACGAUCCGUAGCUGGUCUGAGAGGACGACCAGCCACACUGGGACUGAGAAAGGGCCCAGACUCCUACGGGAGGCAGCAGUGGGGAAUUUUGGACAAUGGGCGCAAGCCUGAUCCAGCAAUGCCGCGUGCGGGAAGAAGGCCUUCGGGUUGUAAACCGCUUUUGGCAGGAACGAAACGGUGUCCGCUAAUACCGGGCGCUAAUGACGGUACCUGCAGAAUAAGCACCGGCUAACUACGUG
rnacentral:rRNA from 1 species